rnacentral:lncRNA from 1 species
CCCAGUACCGAAAAUAAAAUAAAUAAAUAAAAUAAUUACUGUUUGAGGACCAGCUUGCAAAAUUCUUGAAUAUUUAACCCCCAGGAUCAAGGAUGAGCUAGUCCUAGCCCUUCACUGUAAGUAAUACUGUAUCAAAUCUGCCCCUGACCCAAGGGUUUUGGUUUUCCAUCUUCAUGGAAAACUCUUCUCAAAUCCUUGUGGGAACAUUCUUUCACCUCCUUUAAAAACUGUUCUAUUAGGUACUCUGAUUUUUGUUUGUUUGUUUGUUUUUAGCCUCACUAAGUAGUGGCCUCAAAAUCACAGUGAUCCUCUUGCCUUGGCCACUGGAGUGCUGGGGUUGCAGGGAUCGAACUCGGGACCUUGCGCUUGUGAGGCAGGCACUUGAACCACUAAGCUAAAUCCCCGACCCCAUGACUGUAUUUCUUUGGAGAAAGAUGAUUGGCUGCAGAGGAGAAUUGAGUACAAGAAUGGAGAGAGAUAAGAGAUGAGAGAAUAAUUAGCAGGUGCCAUGAACUGUUUCUCCUCUGCGACAUCCCUCUGCCAUGUGCCACUCUGUCUUGGAGCCAGCUGAUUAUGGACUGAAACCUCUACAAACUGGUCUCAUUAUGUAGUUCAGGCUGGCCUUGAACUUGUACCCUAGGCUGACCUUGAACUUGCAGCAAUCCUCCUGCCUCAGCCUGCCUAGUGCUGGGAUUACAGUCUCUUCCCAACAGGAUCUACAUUCUACGACAGUAGACUUCCGUCUGUUUUGCUCACUGUAUCCUGUGUAUAGCACAGUGCCUGGCUCAGAGUAGAUUCGACAAAUAUUUGUUGAAGGAAUGAAUGAAUAUAUGAGUGAAAAGCCACUCAGCUGAUAAAUGGUGGAGGGAUACAUGCCAAACUAUUUAUAGAAGAUGUGACAAGGAAUCUGAGAUUUUCCUCAACAUAAUGCUGGAAGUGAGGAGUGAAUGGAGGAAUGGCAAACCAGCUUCUAGAAAGACCUGCAACAACCCUUGUCACCCAUGGUGGACUUGGCACCAGGAUGACCAGCUCUGGGGACAGCACCUUGGUGUCAGCCAACAUUACUCCUGGCCCAGUGGUACUCACAGUACCGGCAGCUCCUGAGAACUUGGAACUUUGGGGUUGGCAGGCACACUAUAGGCCCCAGUUCCACAUCGAGAAUCCAGAAAACCUGCAUUCUUAUUAAUCUGCCUUUCUUCACAUGUCUUCUUUGAAGAAUUCCCGUGUGUGUGUGUGUUUGCCAUAUAUGAGACAGAUUUUACACAAAUUUUCUGUCUCAGGGAAGAGGACCUGAAUCGGCCACUUUUACCAUAAUCUGUGAAAAUAAACUACAAGAGAGUUCAAUGAACAGACAUCAUAC